UCCAAAAUUCUGACGGCGUCUAUUCCUGCUGCUUGAAUUGAUCGGCCUGCUGAUGGCUCACCACCAUUUGGAGGAUGGGAUCACGUGGUCACCCCUGCGACGCUCGACAACGGCUGCAAACGUGCAACUUCAGGCAGGUCGCCUCUAUCUGUUUGCCACCACAUAAGUGUCAUGCCGAUGGUGGGGACUGUGUUCACGCACUCCCUUGAGAGGAUGGAGCAUGUUAAUUGAGAGAGCAGCAUUAUCCUAAUGAAGCUGUUUCUCGAAGUAUGCAAGCCCACGCUUCAUGUGCUAGGGAAAUUUGGGUUAACCAUGUCUAUUGUCAAGAUUGAUAUAGAAGGCAGUAUCAUAUUUAUGGCAACACAUUGGUGAUGUUCUUGAGCAGAGGCCGGAGACAGAAUAUGCAUAUUAAAAAGUAGGAGCAGCUGCAUGGCAUGGUGAAAGUAGAAGUUAGCACAAAGACUGACGAAAGUUCUAGCAGUUGUAACAACGAUCUUCUCUAGCUGACAAGCGACGGUAGCCAAAUGCGGGGGGGCUCGAGUUCCUGGAUGUUGUGAAGCUCCUGGAAUCUGAGGGUGACCACUGGAUGCCUGCGCCCGCCGCCGACUCCGCAUGUCGAUGCCGUCCCGCACGAUGUUGCCUCCACACGUCAUUUGCUCCGGCCGUCGCCGGCAUCGCACGCCAUCCAGGGUCUCCCCAUCCUCCACCAGCACCUCGCUUCUCUGACCUGACUAGCUGCGGGCGUGCAUGUCUCUCUCCCAUGUUGUGUGACCGCAUCACCAUGUCAUUCAAAAUCAAGAUCGAUUUCUUUCUCCAAUGGAAAAGCUAUCCAGGACAUCAGCAGUUUUACUAUUGCCUUUGACAGUGAAGUUCAGA